GUCUUUUUGAUUAUAAUUUAAAGUCUAACCUGCCCAAUGAGUAGUUAAAUGGCCGCGGUAAUUUGACCGUGCAAAGGUAGCAUAAUCAUUAGUUUUUUAAUUGAAAGCUGGAAUGAAUGGUUGGACGAGAAAAUUACUGUCUCAAUUUAAUUGAAUGUAGAAUUUUAUUUAUAAGUAAAAAAGCUUAUAUGAGUUUAAAAGACGAGAAGACCCUAUAGAAUUUUAUAUUAUUAUUAAUUAUUUUAUUUAAGAAUCUAUAAGGAUUGAUUAAUAAUAAUAUUUUGUUGGGGUGACAGAAAAAUUUAAUAAACUUUUUUUUUAUAAGUUCAUUAAUUUAUGAGUUAUUGAUCCGUAUAUUACGAUUAUAAGAUUAAAUUACCUUAGGGAUAACAGCGUAAUUUUUUUUUAGAGUUCUAAUCGAAAAAAGAGUUUGCGACCUCGAUGUUGGAUUAAAAUUAACUUUUGGUGUAGGGGCUAAAAGGUUAGGUCUGUUCGACCUUUAAAAUUUUACA
rnacentral:rRNA from 1 species